AAAGGAAAGCUACCAUUUACUGAUCUUCCUAUCUGCAAAGUUGUCAUCAGAGCAUGCUUAAGAAACUACAGAAAGGCAAAAUUAUCCGAAGUGGAAGACGAAAUAAGUGAAGCCCUGAAGCAUGUCCCUAAAAGACAAGGUGGCCUAAAGUAUAAGGAUCCUGAACCUAAAAGACCCAAUUAUUUAACAGCACAAGAGUCAUCCGAUUCAGAAAACUAGGCGCAGAUUAAAUCAAGACAGAGUGCAAGGUUCAGUGGCCCAGGAAGGUCAUACAGUAUGAGGCCCUCCACACACACACACACACACACACACACACACACACACACACACACACACACACACUCCUGCCAUCAUACUUCCCACUCUCUAUACCACAUAACCAUCAUUUACCACCUGCUACUACUUAAUGUAGUAAUUGUUGAUGUGCAAGCAAGUCCGCACCAAGUCUACCUCGCUCCUAAGAACCUUCUUGUGCAAGAUAAAAUUCAUGAUCUUAUAAUU